rnacentral:rRNA from 1 species
GAUGAACGCUGGCGGCGUGCCUAAUACAUGCAAGUCGAGCGAACGGACGAGAAGCUUGCUUCUCUGAUGUUAGCGGCGGACGGGUGAGUAACACGUGGAUAACCUACCUAUAAGACUGGGAUAACUUCGGGAAACCGGAGCUAAUACCGGCUAAUAUUUUGAACCGCAUGGUUCAAAAGUGAAGGACGGUCUUGCUGUCACUUAUAGAUGGAUCCGCGCUGCAUUAGCUAGUUGGUAAGGUAACGGCUUACCAAGGCAACGAUGCAUAGCCGACCUGAGAGGGUGAGCGGCCACACUGGAACUGAGACACGGUCCAGACUCCUACGGGAGGCAGCAGUAGGGAAUCUUCCGCAAUGGGCGAAAGCCUGACGGAGCAACGCCGCGUGAGUGAAGAAGGUCUUCGGAUCGUAAAACUCUGUUAUUAGGGAAGAACAUAUGUGUAAGUAACUGUGCACGUCUUGACGGUACCUAAUCAGAAAGCCACGGCUAACUACGUG